rfam:Heligmosomoides polygyrus genome assembly, scaffold: HPBE_scaffold0011005
GCGCCGGUGGUAUAAAGCGAACAUCGCUACCCGGAAAGCAGAAGAUGCGGGUUCGAGUCCCGCCUGGCGCA